rnacentral:piRNA from 1 species
UGACAAGAUUGACAUUUCAGCUACCUGCC